rnacentral:rRNA from 1 species
UACGUAGGGUGCAAGCGUUGUCCGGAAUUAUUGGGCGUAAAGAGCGUGUAGGCGGCCCGACCAGUCCGCUGUGAAAGUCCAGGGCUCAACCCUGGAAUGCCGGUGGAUACUGUCGGGCUAGAGUCCGGAAUGGGCGAGUGGAAUUCCUGGUGUAGCGGUGAAAUGCGCAGAUAUCAGGAGGAACACCGGUGGCGAAGGCGGAUCUCUGGGCCGAUACUGACGCUGAGGAGCGAAAGCGUGGGGAGCGAACAGG